AGACCCGAAACCCGGUGAUCUAGCCAUGGGCAGGUUGAAGGUUGGGUAACACUAACUGGAGGACCGAACCGACUAAUGUUGAAAAAUUAGCGGAUGACCUGUGGCUGGGGGUGAAAGGCCAAUCAAACCGGGAGAUAGCUGGUUCUCCCCGAAAGCUAUUUAGGUAGCGCCUCGUGAAUUCAUCUCCGGGGGUAGAGCACUGUUUCGGCUAGGGGGCCAUCCCGGCUUACCAACCCGAUGCAAACUGCGAAUACCGGAGAAUGUUAUCACGGGAGACACACGGCGGGUGCUAACGUCCGUCGUGAAGAGGGAAACAACCCAGACCGCCAGCUAAGGUCCCAAAGUCAUGGUUAAGUGGGAAACGAUGUGGGAAGGCCCAGACAGCCAGGAUGUUGGCUUAGAAGCAGCCAUCAUUUAAAGAAAGCGUAAUAGCUCACUGGUCGAGUCGGCCUGCGCGGAAGAUGUAACGGGGCUAAACCAUGCACCGAAGCUGCGGCAGCGAACGUAUCACCCAAGACAACUUUGCGGAGUUGACGAUUGACGGAGCGAAGCGACGUCAAAGCGUUCAUUAAAGUCGAGUUGGCUUAGGGAUACGUUCGUUGGGUAGGGGAGCGUUCUGUAAGCCUGUGA
rnacentral:rRNA from 1 species